rnacentral:rRNA from 2 species
AGAGUUUGAUCAUGGCUCAGGAUGAACGCCGGCGGUGUGCCUAAUACAUGCAAGUCGAGCGCACUGGCCCAACUGAUAUGACGUGCUUGCACUGAAUUGACGUUGGAUUCCCAGUGAGCGGCGGACGGGUGAGUAACACGUGGGCAACCUGCCCUGAAGCGGGGGAUAACAUCUGGAAACAGGUGCUAAUACCGAAUAACAACAAAUACCACAUGUUCUUUCUUUUCACAGAUGGUUUCAGCUAUCACUUCAAGAUGGGCCCCCGGUGCAUUAGCUAGUUGGUAAGGUAACGGCUUACCAUAGGCGAUGAUGCAUAGCCGAGUUGAGAGACUGAUCGGCCACAAUGGAACUGAGACACGGUCCAUACUCCUACGGGAGGCAGCAGUAGGGAAUCUUCCACAAUGGGCGCAAGCCUGAUGGAGCAACACCGCGUGAGUGAAGAAGGGUUUCGGCUCGUAAAGCUCUGUUGUUGGAGAAGAACGUGCGUGAGAGUAACUGCUCACGCAGAGACGGUAUCCAACCAGAAAGUCACGGCUAACUACGUGCCAGCAGCCGCGGUAAUACGUAGGUGGCAAGCGUUAUCCGGAUUUAUUGGGCGUAAAGCGAGCGCAGGCGGUUGCUUAGGUCUGAUGUGAAAGCCUUCGGCUUAACCGAAGAAGUGCAUCGGAAACCGGGCGACUUGAGUGCAGAAGAGGACAGUGGAACUCCAUGUGUAGCGGUGGAAUGCGUAGAUAUAUGGAAGAACACCAGUGGCGAAGGCGGCUGUCUGGUCUGCAACUGACGCUGAGGCUCGAAAGCAUGGGUAGCGAACAGGAUUAGAUACCCUGGUAGUCCAUGCCGCAAACGAUGAGUGCUAGGUGUUGGAGGGUUCCGCCCCUCAGUGCCGGAGCUAACGCAUUAAGCACUCCGCCUGGGGAGUACGACCGCAAGGUUGAAACUCAAAGGAAUUGACGGGGGCCCGCACAAG